rnacentral:rRNA from 1 species
AGAGUUUGAUCCUGGCUCAGGAUGAACGCUAGCGGCAGGCUUAACACAUGCAAGUCGAGGGGCAGCGCGGGGCGGCAACGUCCUGGCGGCGACCGGCGGAAGGGUGCGUAACGCGUGAGCGACAUGCCCGUUGCCCGGGGACAACCGGUGGAAACGCCGACUAAUCCCCGAUGGGACGGAGGCCCUCAUGGGUCUCUGUUGAAAGUUACGGCGGCGACGGAUUGGCUCGCGUCCGAUUAGCUAGUUGGCGGGGUAACGGCCCACCAAGGCUACGAUCGGUAGGGGUUCUGAGAGGAAGGUCCCCCACAAUGGAACUGAGACACGGUCCAUACUCCUACGGGAGGCAGCAGUGAGGAAUAUUGGUCAAUGGGCGGAAGCCUGAACCAGCCAUGCCGCGUGCGGGAAGGAGGCCCUAUGGGCUGUGAACCGCUUUUGCCUGGGGGCAAUAAGGGCGUCGGGCACGUCCGAUGAGAGUACCAGGGGAAUAAGCAUCGGCUAACUCCGUGCCAGCAGCCGCGGUAAUACGGGGGAUGCGAGCGUUAUCCGGAUUCAUUGGGUUUAAAGGGUGCGUAGGCUGUGCGUCAAGUCAGGGGUGAAAUUCCGGGGCUCAACUCCGGGGCUGCCCUUGAUACUGUCGCGCUGGAGUGCGGAUGCCGCCGGAGGAAUGAGUGGUGUAGCGGUGAAAUGCUUAGAUAUCACUCAGAACACCGAUUGCGAAGGCAUCUGGCGAAUCCGUAACUGACGCUGAGGCACGAAAGCGUGGGGAUAGAACAGGAUUAGAUACCCUGGUAUUCCACGCCGUAAACGAUGAUGGCUAACCGCCGGCGACACACUGUCGGUGGCCAAGCGAAAGCGAUAAGCCAUCCACCUGGGGAGUACGUCGGCAACGAUGAAACUCAAAGGAAUUGACGGGGGCCCGCACAAGCGGAGGAACAUGUG